ensembl:lncRNA
GACGGAACUGACGGAGGUGACGGAAGUGACAGAACUGACGGAACUGACGGCGAUGACGGAACUGACGGAACUGACGGAGGUGACGGAACUGACGGAACUGACGGAACUGACGGAGGUGACGGAAAUGACGGAGGUGACGGAACUGACGGAGGUGACGGAACUGAUGGAGGUGACGGAACUGACGGAGGUGACGGAACUGACGGAGGUGACGGAACUGACGGAGGUGACGGAAGUGACAGAACUGACGGAACUGACGGCGAUGACGGAACUGACGGAACUGACGGAGGUGACGGAACUGACGGAACUGACGGAACUGACGGAGGUGACGGAAAUGACGGAGGUGACGGAACUGAUGGAGAUGACGGAAGUGACGGAACUGACGGAGGUGACGGAACUGACGGAAGUGAUGGAACUGACGGAGGUGACGGAAAUGACGGAGGUGACGGAACUGAUGGAGAUGACGGAAGUGACGGAACUGACGGAGGUGACGGAACUGACGGAGGUGACGGAACUGACGGAGGUGACGGAGGUGACGGAACUGACGGAGGUGACGGAACUGACGGAGGUGACGGAACUCACGGAGGUGACGGAACUGACGGAGGUGACGGAACUGACGGAACUGACGGAGGUGACGGAACUGACGGAGAUGACGGAACUGACGGAGAUGACGGAGGUGACGGAACUGACGGAACUGACGGAGGUGACGGAACUGACGGAGGUGACGGAACUGACGGAGGUGACGGAAGUGACAGAACUGACGGAACUGACGGAGGUGACGGAACUGACGGAACUGACGGAGGUGACGGAACUGACGGAAGUGACGGAACUGACGGAGGUGACGGAAAUGACGGAGGUGACGGAACUGAUGGAGGUGACGGAAGUGACGGAACUGACGGAGGUGACGGAGGUGACGGAACUGACGGAGGUGACGGAACUGACGGAGGUGACGGAACUGACGGAGGUGACAGGUGACGGAACUGACGGAACUGACGGAACUGACGGAGGUGACGGAGGUGACGGAACUGACAGAGGUGACGGAGGUGACAACUCAAAACAGACAUUUAUUUGUCGAUUAAAACAACAAAAAAGUUCAAUACAAAAAUGUGUAAAAUUAUUUUGUUUGAAAAAUCCCUCAAUAACAUGAUCAGAUCAAUAACAUGAUCAGAUCUUUCAGAUUUUCUGACAGAGUUGAUGUUGUACUAAUUGCAUAUUUUUUACUAAUUUAGUCAAGUGGUAUACUACGUAGCAAUUUUGUUUUUUGCUCAAUUGCUUUUUUUGGCUCUAAAACCUAAUUAAAUUUAACAUAUUCUACAUUAAUUUUAUACCUUUAUUUAACUAGGCAAGUCAGUUAAGAACAAAUUCUUAUUUUCAAUGACGGCCUAAGAACUGCAGUUUCAGGGGCAGAACGACAGCUCAGGGAUUUGAACUUUGCAACCUUCCGGUUACUAGUCCAACGCUCUAACCACUAGGCUACCCUGCCGCCCCAUCUAUAAUCUAUAAGGUAGAUGGAGUUGACUGGUUGUGACCAUGGGGGGGGGAUCAAUAAUAUUUGUUUAAUGUAGCUGCCCAUUCUCGUUCCUGAAUAAUUUGAGUUGACCAAAACUCCAAACAGUUCUGAGAUAAAUAUUCCUUGACGUCAGAGAAGGGACAUGAUAUCCUACUUCAGUUAAUAUCCAUUAUUCUCAGUUUGUUGGAAAUGGAAAUUAAUAAUAUUGAAAAUAUUUAGGAAAAUUACCCUGAAUAAAAAUAUUUUUCCUCAUAAAAU